rnacentral:lncRNA from 1 species
GAGAAACCCUGUCUCGAAAAAACAAAACAAAACAAAAGCAUAAAAAUUAUCCUUACCAAAAAGUCUGACCAGUUAUUUCUAAUGCUAAUUAAAACUUAACACACGUGAUUUUUUUUUUUUUUUAAAGAUUUAUUUAUUAUUUUAUGUAAGUACACUGUAGCUGUCUUCAGACACACCAGAAGAGGGAGUCAGAUCUUGUUAUGGAUGGUUGUGAGCCACCAUGUGGUUGCUGGGAUUUGAACUCUGGACCUUUGGAAGAGCAGUCAGGUGCUCCUACCCACUGAGCCAUCUCACCAGCCCGUGAUUUUUUUUUUAAGAUUUAUUUUAUAUCUAAGGACACUGUAGCUGUCUUCAGACACACCAGAAGAGGGCGUCAGGUCUUAUUACAGAUGGUUGUGAGCCACCAUGUGGUUUCUGGGAUUUGAACUCAGGACCUUCAGAAGAACAGUCGGUGUUCUUACCCGCCGAGCCAUCUAUCUCUCCAGCCCCAUACGUGAUGGGUUUGUGUGUGUGUGCUGUUUUAAUGAACUUGGAUAAAUUCUGAUGGGUAUUUAUAGCAGUUAGUUGAUUUUUAGGAAUGAUGGAUAAAAGGUCUUAAUCUGUAAUAUAAAAUUUUUUAAAGGUGCUAGAAUAUUAGUAACUACAAAACGUUCUGAAUACCUCCCCUCAGUAUAGUCACAAGUAAUAGAAUUAAGACAAUUACAGAUCUAGACCAGACUUUGAAUUAGCUCUUCAAUUUUUUUAAAGUCUAAGUUACAUGUGUUUUCGUGGAGAACAAGUAUUAGAGUCUGUGAAAGAUCAAAAUAUAGUGUGUAAAACAAAAC